CCCCAGGCCAGGUUCAAACAUACUGAAUGUUCCUUGCAGUUCUGUAUCUGCUUGUGUUUCUUAUUCCCCCACCCCCACUGCCCCAUGUCUAAAAUCUUUCCUCAGACAUUUCAAGGGCUCAUUUUCCCACCCUGCCAGUUCAUUUUGUCUACCCUCCAUCACUGUGUGUGUUCCUACCAGUCCUGUGUCUCAGUUGUCUUGUUUUGACUUGUCUGCUAUCCCUCUGGACCUGCUCCUCCCAGGCAGAUAUGAAGUCAGCUCACUCUGCAUCUCCAGAGCCUGUCCCAUGAGUGGCUUCAGUGGACAUAGGAUGGAUGGAGCUAAACAGAAAGGAUUCUCCUUGCUGUGCAUCUGCAUCCUGGGGAAGGGACAACAGAUGCUCCCUCCAGGUAUACAACCAGUCUUGAUGUCUUUAGGAUCUUCCUCUCCAUGGACACCUCAUUGCCCUCAAAUCACUGUGGAAGUUGAGUCCUCCUAACAUCCAGCGAAUGUUUAUUCAGCACCCACUCUCUGAUGGGCCUAUGGGAAGCCUGAGAACACAAGUGGAAAAGACUUCACAGGGUUUUCCAUGAAGUACAAUU
rnacentral:lncRNA from 1 species